CAGAAGAACCCCUGGGCGUGACGCAAAUAUUGGCAGUCAAAGGCUCGCACUGCAGGCUGUUGGCACACAGCAUAAGCUCUGUUUUGGACAGCUAACAUUGACAAGAGGUGGAAGACACCUGAAAACCGGAGAAACCGGAUGCCCGACAAGGCCAGGCGAACCCUUCCCAGGAUUUGUAGAAUGUUGAGUGCUUCAUGUAGUAGUCCCUUUAUGAUUUAACAGGCUUCUCGAGUGAUUGUUGUAGACUAAGAUUUCACGGCGUCAUGUGCGAGAUUUUCAAGAUAUUCCAAAGAAUGACAUUGUGUAUUUAACCAGACCGCGAUUAACUUCAUGCUAACACACAGACGGGCUAACAAAACCAGCAUCACCAUUAUGGUCAUCAUAAACCUGCGACACAAAGGGGGUCACAACACAUGUUGACAAGAUUAUACAGCAAUGCUCGUAUGCACGUCGUCUUGAUCGUCUGCGAAAAGACGACGGGUAUCGUUGCAGGUUGGUCUUCUGUGUUUCAUCAUCAACUCUGCAUUUGUGGAUCGGUCGAAAUCACGUGAAUUGUUGCAAAUUCCUGGAAGGACCGCCAACGACCCUUUUUCCCAGCGUGAGAUUCUGAUCUGUGUCCAGUCGACCCGUGGACAAAGACGUGUCACAAAGUACCCGCCUGCCUGCCCCCUGCCGCGCCAAUUUGCGUCAGCUCCACUGCGAGAGCAGAAAACGAGUCCUUGUGUGCCCCCUGCGGACGCCCUACCCGUCUCCUAAACGGAUUAAAGAAGAUUAAAAAGUU